rnacentral:tRNA from 1 species
GGUGUUGUGGCUCAGUGGUGGAGCACUCACCUAGCAUGUGUGAGACCCUGGGAUCGAUCCUCAGCACCACAU